AGUAUAGUCUCCUAAAUACACUAAGCCCUAUACAAGGGCUUUUU
rnacentral:sRNA from 1 species